GCGGGGAUGCCGGAGCGGUCAAACGGGAUGGGCUAAGGACCCAUUGGCUUAGUGCCUACNNGUUCGAAUCCUGUUCCCCGCA
rnacentral:tRNA from 1 species